CUAUAUCUAUUUGACAGACCUUGAGCAGUUACUGUCUGCUGCUAAUGUUUCCAUGGCAGACGGAAGAAAAAAGUGUCCUUGAGCUUUCUGUCUGUCUGUGUGUGGCAGCCAAGAUUGAACAGGGGAACACAGAG